rnacentral:tRNA from 1 species
GCCGUUGUAGCUCAGCUGGUAGAGCACUUCCAUGGUAAGGAAGUGGUCCGCGGUUCAAGCCCGCGCAACGGCUC